ACGCUGGCGGCACGCCUAACACAUGCAAGUCGAACGAAGUAGCAAUACUUAGUGGCAGACGGGUGAGUAACAUGUAGGUAUCUGCCCUUUGGCCUGGAAUAACACGAGGAAACUUGUGCUAAUACCGGAUAAGUCUUUACGGAGAAAGCUUUAUGCACCAUUGGAUGAGCCUGCACUUGAUUAGUUUGUUGGUGGGGUAAUGGCCUACCAAGACUGUGAUCAAUAGCUGAUUUGAGAGGAUGAUCAGCCACAUUGGGACUGAGACACGGCCCAAACUCCUACGGGAGGCAGCAGUGGGGAAUCUUGCACAAUGGAGGAAACUCUGAUGCAGCGAUGCCGCGUGAGUGAAGAAGGCCUUUGGGUUGUAAAGCUCUUUCGUCGGGGAAGAAAAUGACUGUACCCGAAUAAGAAGGUCCGGCUAACUUCGUGCCAGCAGCCGCGGUAAUACGAAGGGACCUAGCGUAGUUCGGAAUUACUGGGCUUAAAGAGUUCGUAGGUGGUUGAAAAAGUUGGUGGUGAAAUCCCAGAGCUUAACUCUGGAACUGCCAUCAAAACUUUUCAGCUAGAGUAUGAUAGAGGAAAGCAGAAUUUCUAGUGUAGAGGUGAAAUUCGUAGAUAUUAGAAAGAAUACCAAUUGCGAAGGCAGCUUUCUGGAUCAUUACUGACACUGAGGAACGAAAGCAUGGGUAGCGAAGAGGAUUAGAUACCCUCGUAGUCCAUGCCGUAAACGAUGUGUGUUAGACGUUGGAAAUUUAUUUUCAGUGUCGCAGCGAAAGCGAUAAACACACCGCCUGGGGAGUACGACCGCAAGGUUAAAACUCAAAUGAAUUGACGGGGACCCGCACAAGUAGUGGAGCAUGUGGUUUAAUUCGAAGAUACGCGCAGAACCUUACCAACACUUGACAUGUUCGUCGCGACUCUAAGAGAUUAGAGUUUUCGGUUCGGCCGGACGAAACACAGGUGCUGCAUGGCUGUCGUCAGCUCGUGUCGUGAGAUGCUGGGUUAAGUCCCGCAACGAGCGCAACCCUCACUUUUAGUUGCCAUCAUUAAGUUGGGCACUCUGAAAGAACUGCCAGUGAUAAGCUGGAGGAAGGUGGGGAUGACGUCAAGUCCUCAUGGCCCUUACGUGUUGGGCUACACACGUGCUACAAUGGUAUCUACAACAGGAAGCAAAACUGCGAAGUUAAGCAAAUCCCUAAAAGAUACCUCAGUUCGGAUUGCACUCUGCAACUCGAGUGCAUGAAGCUGGAAUUACUAGUAAUCGUGGAUCAGCGUGCCACGGUGAAUGCGUUCCCGGGUCUUGUACACACCGC
rnacentral:rRNA from 1 species